rnacentral:lncRNA from 1 species
CUUCAGAGCCCUGAAAACUGUGGGUGGUGCCUCAGACAGUGAUGAUAGAAGGAGCCCUCUGGAGAAAGCAUGUUGGACUUGGGAAUUUGGGAGAUGAGAAAAGCCUUUACUCUCACCCUAUACCCUCUGAAGAGUCUCUUCAUUAAGAUCUUCUGGGAACCUACCACUCUGACCUCGAGAAGGCUUGAAGUAGAGUCACAUCAAAGAACAAUGCCGUGAGCACACAUCUCCCUUCACGACUCCUGGUCCAGGUAAGCCAGGCUAGCUGACCCAGGAGCCUCCAGGGAUUCUCCAGUCUCUACUUCCUAUCUCUGUAAAACACUGAGAUUACAGAUAUCUGCUACUAUACCUGAUUUUACAGGUGUUCUGGGGGUUCAAACUCAAGUCCUCAUGCUUGAAUGGCAAUGAGUAUUGGUUAUCUCCAAAGUCCCAAAUGAAAGGAUUGCCUAUCCAAAGAAAAAUCUACAAUUAAAAGAGAAAUCUCUGAUUGUGGCAAUGAACAUUUUUAAUAAAGUAGAUGCUUGUGUGGGGUGGGACUGGAGAACUAAGGCAUGAUGAACUCAUCUAUCACUGAAGAUUUGUACUAGGGUACAGAUCCCUAUAGCAGAGUUGUCCUAGGAAAGAGACAUUCCUGGAGUCUGGAUUCUUUGGUUCAUACUACCUGACAAUGGUGGUUUGGAAACCUGGGGCCACUGGGAGCAAUAUCUGCAGCCAUAUUCCUUCUGAGGAUCAGAGAGAAUGAAGUUCAUGAGGACAGACCAGGUAGCCCAGCCAAUGCACAAAUCUCAUAGCAAACAAAUAAACUAAAAAGUGAAUAGAACAAGCUUUGAUUCCUCUCCUGGUAAUGGGCAAAGCUGGUACUGCCUACCUACAUCAAUAUCUAAGACCAAUCAGGAAAUGGCUUAUGGAUAACUCUCCAAGCCUUCCCACAGAAUCUGCACCUCAGUUGCCGUUGUCUUCCCACCCAACGGAGGAAAUUCCAAGGUUCUCUCAAAUGUUGUAG